rnacentral:rRNA from 1 species
AUGUGGAGCGCUUAGAAGUGAGAAUGCCGGUGUGAGUAGCGAAAGACGGGUGAGAAUCCCGUCCACCGAUUGACUAAGGUUUCCAGAGGAAGGCUCGUCCGCUCUGGGUUAGUCGGGUCCUAAGCUGAGGCCGACAGGCGUAGGCGAUGGAUAACAGGUUGAUAUUCCUGUACCACCAUUAUUCGUUUUAAGCGAUGGGGGGACGCAGUAGGAUAGGCGAAGCGUGCUGUUGGAGUGCACGUCCAAGCAGUGAGAUUGAGUGUUAGGCAAAUCCGGCACUCUUAAGAUUGAGCUGUGAUGGGGAGAGGAACUUGUUCCUCGAGUCGUUGAUUUCACACUGCCGAGAAAAGCCUCUAGCUAGAAUAACGGUGCCCGUACCGCAAACCGACACAGGUAGUCAAGAUGAGAAUUCUAAGGUGAGCGAGCGAACUCUCGUUAAGGAACUCGGCAAAAUGACCCCGUAACUUCGGGAGAAGGGGUGCUCUUUGAGGUUCACGCUUCGAAGAGCCGCAGUGAAUAGGCCCAAGCGACUGUUUAUCAAAAACACAGGUCUCUGCUAAACCGUAAGGUGACGUAUAGGGGCUGACGCCUGCCCGGUGCUGGAAGGUUAAGAGGAGUGGUUAGCGCAAGCGAAGCUACGAAUCGAAGCCCCAGUAAACGGCGGCCGUAACUAUAACGGUCCUAAGGUAGCGAAAUUCCUUGUCGGGUAAGUUCCGACCCGCACGAAAGGCGUAACGAUUUGGGCACUGUCUCAACGAGAGACUCGGUGAAAUCAUAGUACCGGUGAAGAUGCCGGUUACCCGCGACAGGACGGAAAGACCCCGUGGAGCUUUACUGUAGCCUGAUAUUGAAAUUCGGUACAGUUUGUACAGGAUAGGUAGGAGCCUUAGAAGCGUGAGCGCUAGCUUACGUGGAGGCAUUGGUGGGAUACUACCCUAAUUGUAUUGGAUUUCUAACCCGCAGCACUUAUCGUGCUGGGAGACAGUGUCAGGCGGGCAGUUUGACUGGGGCGGUCGCCUCCUAAAGAGUAACGGAGGCGCUCAAAGGUUCCCUCAGAAUGGUUGGAAAUCAUUCAUAGAGUGUAAAGGCAUAAGGGAGCUUGACUGCGAGACCUACAAGUCGAGCAGGGUCGAAAGACGGACUUAGUGAUCCGGUGGUUCCGCAUGGAAGGGCCAUCGCUCAACGGAUAAAAGCUACCCCGGGGAUAACAGGCUUAUCUCCCCCAAGAGUUCACAUCGACGGGGAGGUUUGGCACCUCGAUGUCGGCUCAUCGCAUCCUGGGGCUGUAGUCGGUCCCAAGGGUUGGGCUGUUCGCCCAUUAAAGCGGUACGCGAGCUGGGUUCAGAACGUCGUGAGACAGUUCGGUCCCUAUCCGUCGUGGGCGUAGGAAAUUUGAGAGGAGCUGUCCUUAGUACGAGAGGACCGGGAUGGACAUACCUCUGGUGUACCAGUUGUCGUGCCAACGGCAUAGCUGGGUAGCUAUGUAUGGACGGGAUAAGUGCUGAAAGCAUCUAAGCAUGAAGCCCCCCUCGAGAUGAGAUUUCCCAACUUCGGUUAUAAG